rnacentral:rRNA from 1 species
AUUGAACGCUGGCGGCAUGCUUUACACAUGCAAGUCGAACGGUAACAGGGAGCUUGCUCCGCUGACGAGUGGCGAACGGGUGAGUAAUGCGUCGGAACGUGCCGAGUAGUGGGGGAUAACGCAUCGAAAGGUGUGCUAAUACCGCAUACGUACUGAGGUAGAAAGUGGGGGACCUUCGGGCCUCACGCUAUUCGAGCGGCCGACGUCUGAUUAGCUAGUUGGUGAGGUAAAGGCUCACCAAGGCGACGAUCAGUAGCGGGUCUGAGAGGAUGAGCCGCCACACUGGGACUGAGACACGGCCGAGACUCCUACGGGAGGCAGCAGUGGGGAAUUUUGGACAAUGGGCGCAAGCCUGAUCCAGCCAUGCCGCGUGUCUGAAGAAGGCCUUCGGGUUGUAAAGGACUUUUGUCCGGGAGCAAAUGCUGGUGGCUAACAUCCACCGGAGCUGAGAGUACCGGAAGAAUAAGCACCGGCUAACUACGUGCCAGCAGCCGCCGUAAGAC